AAAAAUGGACAAUUGGCGAAAGCCUUAUCCAGCCAUGUCGCCGGUCGGAAGAUAGGCCNUGGAAUNUNAAGCACUUUUAGUUGGGNAGAAGGGCAGUAAGUCAAUCCCUUGCUGUUUUCACGUUACCGACAGAAUAAGCACCUGCUAACUUAGAUCCAGCAGACGCGGUAAUACGAAGGGUGCAAGCGUUAAUCGGAAUUACUGGGCGUAAAGCGAGCGUAGAUGGUUUGUUAAGUUGGAAGUGAAAGCCCCGGGCUCAACCUGGAAACUGCUUUCAAAACUGGCAAGCUGGAGUAUGGGAGAGGGUGGUGGAAUUUCUUGUGUAGCGGUGAAAUGCGUAGAUAUUGGAAGGAACACCAGUGGCGAAGGCGACCACCUGGGCUAUUACUGACAUUGAGGUGCGAAAGCGUGGGGAGCAAACAG
rnacentral:rRNA from 1 species